rnacentral:rRNA from 1 species
UGAGGAACAUGACCUUCGGCGGGGGAUAGCCGGCCCAACGGCCGGGUAAUACCGCGUACGACCACAUGGGGACAUCCCUGAGUGGUGAAAGCAGCAAUGCGCCGAUGGAGUGCCUCGCGGCCUAUCAGCUAGUUGGUGAGGUAACGGCUCACCAAGGCGACGACGGGUAGCUGGUCUGAGAGGAUGGCCAGCCACAUUGGGACUGAGACACGGCCCAGACUCCGUAGGACGG